rnacentral:rRNA from 1 species
AGAGUUUGAUCCUGGCUCAGGACGAACGCUGGCGGCGUGCCUAAUACAUGCAAGUAGAACGCUGAAGAGAGGAGCUUGCUCUUCUUGGAUGAGUUGCGAACGGGUGAGUAACGCGUAGGUAACCUGCCUUGUAGCGGGGGAUAACUAUUGGAAACGAUAGCUAAUACCGCAUAACAAUGAAUGACACAUGUCAUUUAUUUGAAAGGGGCAAUUGCUCCACUACAAGAUGGACCUGCGUUGUAUUAGCUAGUAGGUGAGGUAACGGCUCACCUAGGCGACGAUACAUAGCCGACCUGAGAGGGUGAUCGGCCACACUGGGACUGAGACACGGCCCAGACUCCUACGGGAGGCAGCAGUAGGGAAUCUUCGGCAAUGGGGGCAACCCUGACCGAGCAACGCCGCGUGAGUGAAGAAGGUUUUCAAAAAAAAAAGCUAUGUUGUAAGUCAAGAACGAGUGUGAGAGAGGAAAGUUCACACUGUGACGGUAGCUUACCAGAAAGGGACGGCUAACUACGUGCCAGCAGCCGCGGUAAUACGUAGGUCCCGAGCGUUGUCCGGAUUUAUUGGGCGUAAAGCGAGCGCAGGCGGUUUGAUAAGUCUGAAGUUAAAGGCUGUGGCUCAACCAUAGUUCGCUUUGGAAACUGUCAAACUUGAGUGCAGAAGGGGAGAGUGGAAUUCCAUGUGUAGCGGUGAAAUGCGUAGAUAUAUGGAGGAACACCGGUGGCGAAAGCGGCUCUCUGGUCUGUAACUGACGCUGAGGCUCGAAAGCGUGGGGAGCGAACAGGAUUAGAUACCCUGGUAGUCCACGCCGUAAACG